ACAAUGUGAAAGAGAAAAUUUUUAUUGCAAACAAGAGAAAAUAACUCAAAUGAAUCUCAAAUGUAUGAAGAACUCAUCGAUUUAAGUGGACGAACUCACCGUUUUGAGUGGAUGAACUCAUCAAUGCGUAUCUUGCUAAGAUGUAUAUAAGUUUUGAAUUCUAUGGUAUAAUUUCAUGAAUUCAUCUUUAUUAUAAUAUCAACAAUACUCUCACUUUCAACUUGAAGCUUUCGGCUAUGAUUGUUCGACAGGUGUAGAGCCAAACCCUUUAAUUGAAUGUGUCUCAAUUUUGCAAUUACUCAUUUCAAAUGAAUUGCAUCUUUUGGACGUUGAAAUAGAUUUUAAAUUUUGCAGGCAUGAGGUGAAGCUUCUCAUUAAUGACAAAUUUUCUAAUUUUUAUGUUUUUGCAAAAAAAAUUUUUUUGUAGUAUGUGUGUUAUUUCAAUUACAAUGUAUUUGAGGUUUAGGUAAAUAAUUGUACUUUUUUAUAUUGGAUAGGGGCAUUUGAGGGAUGGUUUAAUUUAUUUAUUUUUCUAAUUUUUAUGGUUUGCUAUUAUAACAAUAAUUUAAAAUUAUUUUUGCUAUUUUUCCAAAGUAAAACUCAUGAUUUGCUAUUGUUCUUGACAACCCUAUAUUUAAAAUGGUUUGGUUGCUUGCAAACUAGGAUUGUACAUAAAUUGAGUUGGGCCAGAUUGGAGGAAAAUUAUGGAUCAACCCAAAGUAUUCAGAUCGACAAAAAAUGAACUUUAUUGGUUCAAUAUAUCAGGUUAACUCAACCUAACCCAAUCCAAAAAAUUAGGUUGUAUUGGCAGAUUGGUUUUUUUUUCACCUCUCCAUAAUUUGGACAAAUUUUCAUAUUGUUUUUCAACAUGAAAUUAGGAGAAAAAAUUGUCAUUCGAGGUGCAAGGUGACAUAAAUAUGUUAUACAUUCAAAUUCCAAGUCUACAAUCAAAGGAGAUUUACUUUUAGGUUUUAGGUUUAUAUAUAUAAUCGGGCUGGACCGAGUCAACCCAACCCCUUGCUUGCAUGACCCGACUACUUGGCUCAACUUUUUUUCUCCAAUUUUCUAAUAAUCCAACUCAACCCACACACAAAAUUUAACUCAACCCAACCCUUACUGUUUGGGUUGGAUAAUUUGGAUUGAUUGGAUUAUCAAUUUUUUUGAACAUGACUAAUGCACAUCCAAAAGGAAGAGGGAGUUGAAAAGUUUUUUUGCAUAUACACUCUUUCUUAUGUUUUGUUGACAGAGAAUUAGAAACGAUUAGGCUCUAAAAUCUAUGAAAUAUGCAAAAAUCAAGAAGGUAAAUUUUCAUAAAUAUAACAAAACACCAAAAUAUUUAUAGCCCGUGUAACAAAAUCAAAAAGUCAAGCUGACCAUUUUUUUAAAUAUUCCAGAUUUUCCUUUCCUUUCAUCUUCUUUCUUCUGCUAUUUUUUUUGGGAAUUGCAUCAGAUGACAAAAAACAUUUAGAAGAAACAACCCAUGACACAUCUUUUUUGCAUACUGCGAAUAUGACAAAUAUGACAAGUAAUUAGUGAUAUCAGACGGUUAUCAGAUGACUAUUAAAAGACUAUCAGAGGGUUAUCAGAGGACUAUCAUAGGAUUAUCGACUUUAAAUUUGCUACUUUUGCAAUUUAGAAAAUAUAGUAACUGAUAGAACUAAGUCAUGCACAGCGGAAAAAGAAUCGAAUUUCUACCCUAAUUGCCAUAAUUAACAUCUAACCAUAAACUAAUCAAAUUAGGGUUUUAAGAAGUAUUACCUUUGAAGCUUUCAAAAGGUUUGAUGUCUUCUUACCAAUUCUACCCGAGACCACCACUAGUACUCAACUGCUAUCCUCUAGACAAAGAACCGGGUUGUGGGACCCAAUUUUGGUGUAGAAAGUAAUGGAGAUAAAAUGAGAUUGGAAGCUUUCUUUUUUCUUUUGUUGAGAUUAUGAAAAUGAUAAAAGAGGCAAAAGUCCUUCAACAUUUGAAAACAUCUCUAUUUAUAGCCUAAUUACAUGCAAAAAUGCAUGCAAUUCA
rnacentral:lncRNA from 1 species